GGACUACCGGGGUAUCUAAUCCUGUUUGCUCCCCACGCUGUCGCGCCUCAGCGUCAGCCGGCUCUUGCGAGCCUUCCUGCCCAGCGGGCCGCCUUCGCCACCGGUGUUCUUCCGGAUCUCUACGCAUUCCACCGCUACACCCGGAAUUCCACCCGCCCCUACAGUGCUCAAGCACGCCAGUCCGCACGGCCGACCCGGGGUUGAGCCCCGGGCUUUCACCACACGCUUGACAUGCCGCCUACGCGCCCUUUACGCCCAGUGAUUCCGGACAACGCUCGCACCCUCCGUAUUACCGCGGCUGCUGGCAC
rnacentral:rRNA from 1 species